rnacentral:rRNA from 1 species
CCUACGGGGAGCAGCAGUGAGGAAUAUUGGUCAAUGGGCGCUAGCCUGAACCAGCCAAGUAGCGUGAAGGAUGACUGCCCUAUGGGUUGUAAACUUCUUUUAUAUGGGAAUAACGUGCAGUAUGUAUACUGCUUUGCAUGUACCUUAUGAAUAAGGAUCGGCUAACUCCGUGCCAGCAGCCGCGGUAAUACGGAGGAUCCGAGCGUUCUCCGGAUUUAUUGGGUUUAAAGGGAGGGUAGGCGGGUUGUUAAGUCAGUUGUGAAAGUUUGCGGCUCAACCGUAAAAUUGCAGUUGAUACUGGCAGCCUUGAGUACAGUAGAGGUAGGCGGAAUUCGUGGUGUAGCGGUGAAAUGCUUAGAUAUCACGAAGAACUCCGAUUGCGAAGGCAGCCUGCUGGACUGUAACUGACGCUGAUGCUCGAAAGUGUGGGUAUCAAACAGGAUUAGAUACCCCUGUAGUC